AUGAAGAUGGCGACUUGCAUUCGUAAGGUGGCCUCAGAGGAGUUUGGAGUGUCCAGGGGAAGGAGAAGUGAAGAUAAGGAUACCUGGUGGUGGAAUGAUGAUGUCCAGAAGGCGAUUAAAGAGAAGAAAGAUUGCUUCAGACGCCUAUACCUGGAUAGGAGUGCACACAACAUAGAGAAGUACAAGAUGGCGAAGAAGACCGCAAAGCGAGCUGUUGGUGAAGCAAGGGGUCGGGCGUAUGAGGACCUCUACCAACGGUUAGGUACGAAGGAAGGCGAAAGGGACAUCUAUAAGAUGGCCAAGAUCCGAGAGAGGAAGACGAGGGAUAUUGGCCAAGUCAAAUGCAUCAAGGAUGGAGCAGGCCAACUCUUGGUGAAGGACGAGGAGAUUAAGCAUAGAUGGCGGGAGUACUUCGACAAGCUGUUCAAUGGGGAGAAUGAAAGCUCUACCAUUGAACUGGACGACUCUUUUGAUGAGACCAACAUGCGUUUUGUGCGUCGAAUCCAGGAGUCUGAGGUCAAGGAGGCUUUAAAAAGGAUGAAGGGAGGCAAGGCGAUGGGCCCGGAUUGUAUCCCCAUUGAGGUGUGGAAAGGUCUCGGGGACAUAGCGAUAGUAUGGCUAACCAAGCUUUUCAACCUCAUUUUUCGGGCAAACAAGAUGCCAGAAGAAUGGAGACGGAGUAUAUUAGUACCAAUCUUCAAGAACAAGGGGGAUGUUCAGAGUUGUACUAAUUACCGUGGAAUUAAGCUGAUGAGCCAUACAAUGAAGCUAUGGGAGAGAGUCAUUGAGCACCGCUUAAGAAGAAUGACAAGCGUGACCAAAAACCAGUUUGGUUUCAUGCCUGGGAGGUCGACCAUGGAAGCCAUUUUCUUGGUAUGA
rnacentral:rRNA from 1 species